rnacentral:rRNA from 1 species
CGCAGCCAGCUGCGAGAUUUGGUGUGAAUUGCAGGACACAUUGAGCACUGAUUUUUCGAACGCACAUUGCGGCCUCGGGUCUUGCCCGGGGCCUCGCCUGUCUGAGGGUCGGAUWAGACUUGCCUAGGAGGUCUCGGUCUUCGGGCCGUGCCUUCAAUUGGCCGCACCGGAYRCUCCUCGGGGCGUUCGCCGGCUCAAGUACUUGGAAGGAUCUCAUUCCGUUCGUUAAACGGGCAGCAGCCACCUAAGUGGAAGCUYGUCGAGUGGAUGAAGACAGACGUUCUUCUCCCGCGGAMGAGACGUGGCUAUGAAACAGUACUGCCCUGUCAAACACGAGUUAUACGGUGCAGGUGCCGUCGUAGCCCCGUUCGAGAGGACGGGACGCGAUGAAAACCCUAAUUCUGUCGACCUCAGAUCAGACGAGAUGACCCGCUGAAUUUAAGCAUAUC